ACAAGUAAUUGAUCGCUGCAUUAAUAAUGUAGAGGAAAGUCCAUGCUUGCACAAGCUGCGAUGCUUGUAAAUGUUUAUGUGGAAUGAUAAAUUCCAACACCCUAUAGUUAGAGUGAUGACGCUAAAAUUAUCUAAGUAUCGGUAUAAGAUAGUAAUAGCCUAAAGUGCCACAGAGACGAGUUUAUAGGAAACUAUAAAAGUGAAACGCGGUAAACUCCAUAAGCAAGAAACCCAAAUUUGGUAGGGGAACAAGUCAAAGAUAACUGAAUCAAUGAUUUGGCACAUAUGUGUAGAUAAAUGAUCAAUAUCAUUAUGUAAAUAAUGACACAGAACAUGGCUUACAACU
rnacentral:RNase_P_RNA from 1 species